rnacentral:rRNA from 1 species
UAAUACAGAGGGUGCGAGCGUUAAUCGGAUUUACUGGGCGUAAAGCGUGCGUAGGCGGCUUUUUAAGUCGGAUGUGAAAUCCCUGAGCUUAACUUAGGAAUUGCAUUCGAUACUGGGAAGCUAGAGUAUGGGAGAGGAUGGUAGAAUUCCAGGUGUAGCGGUGAAAUGCGUAGAGAUCUGGAGGAAUACCGAUGGCGAAGGCAGCCAUCUGGCCUAAUACUGACGCUGAGGUACGAAAGCAUGGGGAGCAAACAGGAUUAGAUACCCUGGUAGUCCAUGCCGUAAACGAUGUCUACUAGCCGUUGGGGCCUUUGAGGCUUUAGUGGCGCAGCUAACGCGAUAAGUAGACCGCCUGGGGAGUACGGUCGCAAGACUAAA